rnacentral:rRNA from 1 species
UACGUAGGUGGCAAGCGUUGUCCGGAGUUACUGGGCGUAAAGCGUGCGCAGGCGGCUUGUUAAGUGAGGUGUGAAAUCUGGUGGCUCAACCGUGUAGAUUGCAUCUCAUACUGGCAGGCUAGAGUAUGGCAGAGGCAAGUGGAAUUGGCAGUGUAGCAGUGAAAUGCGUAGAUAUUGCCAGGAACACCAAUGGCGAAGGCAGCUUGCUGGGCCACUACUGACGCUCAGGCACGAAAGCGUGGGGAGCGAACAGG